UACGUAGGGGGGCAAGCGUUUGUCCGGAUUUAUUGGGCGUAAAGAGCGUGUAGGCGGUCCGAUAAGUCGGUUGUGAAAGUCCAGGGCUCAACCCUGGGAUGCCGACCGAUACUGUCGGACUAGAGUUCGGAAGAGGCGAGUGGAAUUCCUGGUGUAGCGGUGAAAUGCGCAGAUAUCAGGAGGAACACCAAUUGCGAAGGCAGCUCGCUGGGACGUAACUGACGCUGAGACGCGAAAGCGUGGGGAGCAAACAGG
rnacentral:rRNA from 1 species